GUCUAAUCCUGCCCAACAACAGCCAUGACCUGAUCCCCACACACGAGUUCAGCGUGGAGGGGACAGUGACAAGGGAGAUGGCUUAAGGAGAGGAGCACAUAGUGACAAAAAACGGGUCAAUAAAUGACAAAUAAAGAAUCCAUCACUAUCGGAGAGAGAGACUGAAGGACACAGACGGAGAAAAGGGACAAGUCGCCGGAACGAGGCGGCACCAGAGUCAGGAUGAAUAAUGAACCACAGAGGUGACGCCUUCUCCAGACGAAUGAACGGG